rnacentral:rRNA from 1 species
UGGGGAAUAUUGCACAAUGGAGGGAACUCUGAUGCAGCGACGCCGCGUGAACGAUGAAGGUUUUCGAAUCGUAAAGCUCUGUCCUAUGGGAAGAUAAUGACGGUACCAUGGGAGGAAGCCCCGGCUAACUACGUGCCAGCAGCCGCGGUAAUACGUAGGGGGCGAGCGUUGUCCGGAAUUACUGGGCGUAAAGGGUUCGCAGGCGGCAUGGCAAGUCCGAUGUAAAAGGCGAAGGCUCAACCUUCGUAAGCAUCGGAAACUGUCAAGCUUGAGUGAAGGAGAGGCAAGUGGAAUUCCUAGUGUAGCGGUGGAAUGCGUAGAUAUUAGGAGGAAUACCGGUGGCGAAGGCGACUUGCUGGACUUCAACUGACGCUGAGGAACGAAAGCGUGGGUAGCAAACAGG